UUAAUUCUUAUUUAUUUCGUUCUUAUUGUGUUAUAUUUUAAUGUAGGGUUGGAUAUACUAGCAUUUUCCGUCCAUUUUUUAAAGACGUGAUCGUGGUGCUAUCAUGUUAGCUCCCCACGGACCACCAGAUAACAUUCCAAGCAUGCUCACUCAGGGGGUUUCUGGAGUACAUGUGGAGGAUCGACUCUUUGAUAGUGGAAAAUGUCAUAUGGACACCUUUUGCAUACCAUAUAGUUAACUAGGAGUUUGAUAACAUUGGCCUUGUUUGGGUUAUAUUUGAUGGAAGAUUAUGUUGGUUGCAUAUUUACUUGAGAGGUGUCUGUGCCAAUUUGGAUAUGUUCAUAUCAUUCCCAUAUCAGUUCGUAUAGUGUCAGUUAGGGGCACUGAGAGAUGGUUUAGGUCUAAUGUUAUGAAAUGUGUCACAACUAUCAUAGAAAAUAUGGUGGAUGUAUCUCUUCUUGGAUAAUGC
rnacentral:lncRNA from 1 species